CGGCCGCGGUAUCCUGACCGUGCAAAGGUAGCAUAAUCAUUUGUUCCUUAAUUAGGGACUUGUAUGAAUGGCACCACGAGGGUUUAACUGUCUCUUACUUUUAAUCAGUGAAAUUGACCUUCCCGUGAAGAGGCGGGAAUACAUAAAUAAGACGAGAAGACCCUAUGGAGCUUAAAUUAGUGUGUUCUGAACAACAAAUUUUGGUUGGGGUGACCUCGGAGUACAAAAGAACCCCCGAACUAAGACCAACUAGUCAAGGUCAAUCAUAUUGAUCAACGGAACAAGUUACCCUAGGGAUAACAGCGCAAUCCUAUUUGAGAGUUCAUAUCGACAAUAGGGUUUACGACCUCGAUGUUGGAUCAGGACACCCAAAUGGUGCAACAGCU
rnacentral:rRNA from 1 species